rnacentral:misc_RNA from 1 species
CCUCUUUCCAUGCCUUCGAUCCACCUUUGGAAAACAGAUUAAUUAUAUACCAAAUGGUUGUAACACGCCUCACCAGCUAAGGCAUGAAAUGAUUAUUGUCAAGAUUUCGUAUUUCAGAAUCAGAUUUGCUUUGCUAGCUUCGGAUUAAGACUUGGGACAUCAAGAAGUAGAUCGAAGAAGUACUAUAGUUGGUAAUUUUCUUUGGAAUUCAAAGGGGGAAAAAAGGGCAGAUGCUAGAAAAGGAGAAAUGGGAUCGACAGAAGUUAUUUACUGACAAGUUUGGCCAUUCUUGGAGGAUUUAUCUUCUUGUGUAUGCAGAAGAAAAUUUUAAAAAAAUUGGAAAUAUAAUAAUUGGUGCUAAAUUUACCCACGUUGCAUAGUAUUUUCAAUACAACCAAACGUCAUAGGGUACAUGUGGCAAG